UCGAUGAAGAACGCAGCGAAAUGCGAUAGUAAUGUGAAUUGCAGAUUUUCAGUGAAUCAUCGAAUCUUUGAACGCACCUUGCGCUCCUUGGUAUUCCGAGGAGCAUGCCUGUUUGAGUGUCAUUAAAUUCUCAACUCCAAGGGUUUCACGACCUUUCGGAGAUUGGACUUGGAGGUGCUGGCCGCAUAUUGGUCGGCUCCUCUCAAAUGCAUCAGCGGAAUUCAACCUUUGGCUUCCGGAUGUCAGUGUGAUAAUCACGUUGCGCUGUCAACCGAUCCUGAAAGGCCCGCUCAUAAUGGUCUUCGGACAACUUCAUAUCAAAUUUGACCUCAAAUCAGGUAGGACUACCCGCUGAACUUAA
rnacentral:rRNA from 1 species